UGCUUGCCAUUAUCCAAAAAGCGGAGGAAAAGAAACCAACUGGGAUUACCUUAGUAACGGCGAGUGAAGCGGUAAAAGCUCAAAUUUGAAAUCUGGUACUUUCAGUGCCCGAGUUGUAAUUUGUAGAAUUUGUCUUUGAUUAGGUCCUUGUCUAUGUUCCUUGGAACAGGACGUCAUAGAGGGUGAGAAUCCCGUUUGGCGAGGAUACCUUUUCUCUGUAAGACUUUUUCGAAGAGUCGAGUUGUUUGGGAAUGCAGCUCAAAGUGGGUGGUAAAUUCCAUCUAAAGCUAAAUAUUGGCGAGAGACCGAUAGCGAACAAGUACAGUGAUGGAAAGAUGAAAAGAACUUUGAAAAGAGAGUGAAAAAGUACGUGAAAUUGUUGAAAGGGAAGGGCAUUUGAUCAGACAUGGUGUUUUUUGCAUGCACUCGCCUCUCGUGGGCUUGGGCCUCUCAAAAAUUUCACUGGGCCAACAUCAAUUCUGGCAGCAGGAUAAAUCAUUAAGAAUGUAGCUACUUCGGUAGUGUUAUAGCUUUUUGGAAUACUGUUAGCCGGGAUUGAGGACUGCGCUUCGGCAAGGAUGUUGGCAUAAUGGUUAAAUGCCGCCCGUCUUGAACCACCGGACACCAA
rnacentral:rRNA from 1 species